CUGAGUGAGGGUCUCUGGCCCGACCUCCAACCCUUUGUGAUUUAAACCAAUUGUUGCCUCGGGGGUGACCCGGCUUCACUGUCGGAUGCCCCCGGUGGACCACCUUAAAACACUGCAUCUUUGCAUCUGAUUUAAAAGUUUAAUUGAUUA
rnacentral:misc_RNA from 1 species